UUUGUGUCAACUUCACACAAGCUAGAGUCAUCUGAGAGGAGGGACCCCCAGAUGAGAAAACGCCUGCAGAAGACUGGGCUUGGCCUGGCUGGACACCCUGCCAUCCUGGCUGUCUGUCAGAGCUGGACAACAGAGGAAAGGGAAGGCACCACCUGCAGCAUGCCACAUGUCAGGGGACCGGCUCAACUGUCAGGAGAUCAGCCUUUGGGGUGGCUUCCUCUUGGCUAAGCCCCUCUCCAGAAGCACGGGGACGGCAGCCAUCCUGACUGGCCAUGACUCUCUGGAGGCUCCCAGACCCACCACCUGGACUCCACUCAGGAUCUUGCAUUCCAGCUGUAGAAGGAACUGUGGACAGGAAAACAAGAUCUCAGGAAACCUGCUGUGGAGACAGGGAUGACAUUGAAUUUCUGAGCCUCCUGCCCCCCAAGUGCUGGGAUUACGGGUAUGCACUACCACAUCUGGCCUGGCAGCACCAGGGAUCAAACCCAGACUUUAUGCAAGCACUUUGUCAACUGAUCCACAGCCUAGUAUCCCCCCCUUCUCUCUCCCAGCACCAUGGGACACCAAGACAGAAGGAAGGAUGUAACUUAUUCUUUGAUCAACUAAAGCCCACCUCCCACUCCGUGGCCCUCAGUGGUUCUUCUCUCCAUGGUCAGCAGUUAGGAUGAUUGCUGACCUCUGGAGCACACACUAUGUGCAGCCUUUGUCAAGAUGCAUUUCUGCACACGUGUCAUCUAGAAGCAACUACACAGCAACACAUGGUGGGUGCGCCUCAGACUAGAGGGAAGAACGGGUGUGUUUAAUUUAGUAGACUCUGUUACAGCCUUCAGCACAGUACCUUGACCAAGGUAAAACUUCAUGAGGUGCCUCUAAAGUCACAAGCCAGUGAAGGCUGCAGUGGGGCUUAGGGCUUGCACUCUGUUCCUGUUUGUGUAUCCAGUGUAACCCUAAUAGGCUCAUGCAAUGAAGGUUUGGCUCCAGUUGGGGGUGCUAGUGAGAGGUUCCUGGUUCAUGAGGGCAAAGGAUUGAGCAGCCCUCUGAUACUGAAUGGCCUGUUAGGAGCUAGGGUGUAACUGAAGGACAUAGGUCACCAGGGCAUGCCUUUGAAGGGUACAUCUUGUCUCCUGGACCCUUUACCUGUUCCCUGCCUCAAUGAGAUGAGCAUCUCUGCCGCCUGUACCGUGCCCUCUCCACCAUGAUGUGCUGCCUCCAUCAUGGGUCCAGAAGCGAUGGAACUCGCCCAUCACAGGCUGAAACCCCCAAAAGACUGUCUUCUUUUGUUUUUGCCAGACAUUUAUUUUAUCACAGUAACAAGGCUCACUGACGCUCUCCCAAGUUCCCUCUCCCCCACUCAGGCAAAUAUGGGAUCUGAACGGUGCGGAGCGCUGUGCAGAGUCCACUAGAACCACGGCUGAUCUCGCCUUCUCCACUCCAUCCACCUCCCAGGAGACAGAAGCCCCUUACAGUCGAGACUUCCACUAGAGACCACCAGAGGGAGCUGUUGGCCUGCAGGAUCAAAGGGACAGCAUUGCCUAUGAGAGUGCCACCAACUGAACUCAGGGCUCUGUGCAAAGCCCUCUGCCAACUGCCACAUUCCCAAGCUGCAAAGAAGACACUUACCCUGCAUCACCGGCAGUUUUGCUGAGUAGCAAAAACCACACCCGUCUCAGCAGACCGUGAUUACACUUUCUGCCUUGCAACUGGCUGGGACCAGGAUUAGAGGGCACCUUUCCUGAAGCCACCAGGCUGUGAGUCACUGAACCUCUCCUCAAGCCAUCCUUCCUUCACCCGCUUCCUCCCCUGGCCACACCAGCCCUAUGCCUUUGACCUCUGCUAACUCCCCUCAAGGAUGGCCUGCACACUGCAGACUCCAAAUGGCUUUGACACUCUGAUCAGCUUUGCUUACAAGUCCCAUUGAUGUGUUCAAAACUAGCAAGUAGGGAUGGAGAGCAGGCUCCAUGGUUAGGAAUACUGGCUGCUCAUCUAUAAGACUCAGGUUCAUUUCCCAGAACCCAUGUGACAGAUUACAACUGUAAUUCCAGUUCCAGAAGAUCCAGUCCCUUCUUUGGACCUCUGUGGAUACCAGACAUGCAUGUAUUGCAUAGACACAUAUCCAGGCAAAACAUUCAUGCACAUAAAAUGAAACAGAGCUGAGUCUAGGAGGCAAGAGAAUGGCUCUCCCUUGUGAGGUUGCAGGGUCCAGAGCAAGGCGAGGGGUGGCCAUCUCUUAAUAGCGUUCGCGCGACCGACGAGGAAGAACACAACAGACCAGAAUCUUCUGCGGCAAAGCUUUAUUGCUUACAUCUUCAGGAGCCAGAGUG